ACAGAGCUGGAUGUCAUGUCAUCAGAUGUCAUACUACUCUACUAUAAUAACAAUGGUACCAUAGCUCUAGCUAAGGAACCCAGAUCUCAUUAGAGGUCUAAGUAUAUAGAGCAUCUAUUCUACUUGAUUUGCACAUAUCUCAAAAAUAAGUACAUCAAGGUGUAGAGAGUAGACUCCACAGAUAAUGUGAUAGACCCACUGACU
rnacentral:lncRNA from 1 species